CAACCUCAAGAGAGCACGACUAGCAACACCAAGCGGCGCAGGAAGAAGCGACUGGCCAGGAAGAAAUCCUAUUAGCACGGACAAUUUGAAGCGAGGCCACGGGAACGGGGGAGAGAGGCACUAUCCCAAUUUACAUCGAAAUAAAUGAAGCAAAUGUCCAGUUACGCACGUUUCGUCCUGAGCCGACCGCGAGCCGAUUGAACCUUACAAAAUGGUGGGUUUUACAAAUUGCACCACAACUCCGUCGGGAUAAUGACUCGUUUUGCAUAAUCGAGUUGGAUUAUCAUAACAAUGUCGCGUGUAUUCUUGAAUCACUCGUUAUCGAUAGAUAUUCACCCAGAUGGCCACGACUGGACUUUUUACCGCACGCUAAUAAACUGCAUCUAAAAUCGUAUUUUUUAAGUUUUUAUGUAAUGUGAUGAAAUGUAGGCCAAGAGCUUUCCCGUUGUAUUAAAAAACACUAAUGUUUUAAGGUAUGACAAGUGUGGAUAAGAAUAAAAUACUUAUUCAUAUAAUUUUCUAGUUUUGCGAUCAGAACACAUGUAAAAAUCCGUUCAGUAGAUACUUUUUGCGUGAAAGAGUAACAAACAUCCAGACAUACAGACAUCCAAACUUUCGCAUUUAUAAUCCUACUAAGGAUUUCUUACUCAUAAUGUGUAUAUUAUUAUUUGAGUUAAGGUGAUUCGGGUUUAAUUCUUGUCAUUAUACUUUCCUCAAGUCAACUUAUCAUUUUGUACGUAAUUUAAAAUAUCGAGUGGUUUAAGAAUACCUACUGCUCUCCUUAUUACUAUGCAGAUUUCAAUAUAAGUUUGUAAGCUAUUGAUCACAUUACUAUAAAGGAACUAUCUAACAUCAA